AGACUCCAGACCAGGGGGCAGAAAACCUGGGCUCGAGUUGUGAGACUGCCACAAACUGGCCAUGUGGCUUCCAGCUAGUGGCUUACCAUCACAAGACGGGACAGGGCUUCAUUUCUGAAACGCCCAGAAGGAACUGCCCAGUCUGCAGACUUCAGCAAGGCCGUGCUGGUGGAGUAAGGACAAAGCAAGCCACAUUUGCACAGACACGGAGCCACCGAGCAGUCUCUUUCCUUCAGAGAUUUCGUGGAACCCUCCUGCUUCCUUGCCGACGUCUGUACCUGGUGGACCAGCAGGCACAGUUCAGGGGCGACACUCUCUGCAGGGAAGACUCUAAGGCCUUCCCUACACCCUCCUCGGUUUUCUCCAUCUAUCUGUGAGUUCUGUACACCUCCUCUGCUCCCAGCCCAGAAGCAGCCACUUCAGCGGGUCAGUGGGAAGCUCCUCGGACCUCAGGACUUUGCCGACAGCAUCCCUUCCUUACACC
rnacentral:lncRNA from 1 species